ACAUUGAAAUAAAGCAUCGCAAUUAACAUGUUCAUGUUAAAUUAUGAAAGAUUAUCGAAGUUUUAUUUCAAUGUGCACAACACUUCAACAUUUGAAAAUACGUCUGGGGCCGUAAUAUUGUGAUUUUAAAUAAAUAACACUUCAACAUUUCACUUCAGAUUACAUCGUGCUUCCCGCCAUGCAAUUUCCGGUGAUUUGCGAGGGCGCGCAAGGGCUCGCACGUCAUACAAGUUCACAGCCCCAGAGCCCUCGCAUUUAAGAGCUUGCGAGGCAGUUUUUUCAUCCCUAGUUUUUGCAGUUAUAAUUAUAGCACCUCGAGACCAGGUAUAACAGCCCGGCAAACAAUGCGAGGGUUGGUGAGGUACCUCUCGCUCUAAUUUCUCUAGUCUAGUCUAGUUGCCUCGCUUCCUCCUAUAGCGAUUCUGUCGAGCUGAGCUUUCACGUCCCUCAUCACCGAUCUCCUUCCUACCCCUCGCCUAAGAUCGUCUGACGUCUCGCCUGAUUGCUUUCGUUGUGUUGGUGCUCGGCGGCUGCUGUCACCGUAGAAGUUAGGUUGUGUGUGUGUAAAAAAACGUAAACAGUGUUGUUGGCUGAUCAAGUGCGGUAAGUUUUUUAAUAAUUAAGUUCUUAAUUUUACGUAAGUAAGUGCCAUUUUAGCUCAAAUCAGCGGUAGAAGUCCUGCCCAAUGCGUGCUGGCUCCGUCGGAAGCGGUACGUGCAUGUACCGGCGUAGGAAAGUGGUGUGGUGAACAACACAGCACAAGACAACGGAUAUAAUGCAGAAAUGAUAUGGGCCUGCCGCAGGUGUUUGCCACUGUACGAUGCAUUGUAUAUGAUUCGGUAUGUUCGGUAUGUAAGCGGACCACGAAAGAAGAAGAAGAUUGUUUGGUGACGCUAGCGACUAGGAUGCUAAUCAUGGUGUUUAUUCCUUUUUUUGCAGCCAAUUUUCCUCUAUCCUGGAACGUGGGCUUACGAGGAACCAUUUAAGAACAUCCUCCGGAAGCUGUACGGCGACGAGUCGGGCUCUACCAGCACAACACGCUAGAGGCCCAGCCGGCACCGGGUGCCCCGAUUGCGCCGCCAGACGGUGUCGAGCGCGCUCGAUUACAACAUUCAGAGCAUGAAUUCAACCCUUCGGAUCUGCAUUAUCCUCUGCCCCACAAUAGCUGCAGCAGCAACAGGACUGAACCGACCGCACUACUGAUUGCGGUCAAAUACUGAUUGCGGUCCUGGCAGGAGAGAAAACCCCACGAGUGUAUCGAACAGGCUGCUGACGAACCCCGAAAAGGCGACAAACAUUCAUCCCCAGCGGCCUACGAUGUUCUUAGUGUUCUGUGGUGUGCGCGACCGUCGAAGUGUUAACAUUAAAAAUUUUAAUUAACAAGAUAAGACUAUUAUGGUGAUGUCGUGUAGAUGUGCGCAAGUGGGUUAACAUUAGACUUAAGUACGCUUUAAGGCAUAAAUCGAUAUGCCUAAUUUUAAGUUAAGUGUUUUGACAUGCCCGUGUGUAUCAAAGGGCGGAAUAAACGCUAAGCAAACUAAGCGGCCGCGUAAGGCGCCGUGGUCUUGAGGGGCCCCAAAAAUGGAACUUACCCCCCACUCGCAAGUAAAAUUGCUACCCAAUCCUUCUCUAGUUUAGAGCAUUUCCCUGCUAGACGCUGCAGCCACACCUACAUUUAUGUGUCUGCUUAGGGUUUCCACUCGUAUGUGCGGUUUUUACACUACAUUUAAGAUAAAUAAAUCUAGAUGAUAUUCUCAUAAA